rnacentral:rRNA from 1 species
CACGUAGGGGGCGAGCGUUGUCCGGAUUUAUUGGGCGUAAAGAGCUUGUAGGCGGUUUGUCGCGUCUGCUGUGAAAUUUCGGGGCUCAACCCCGAACUUGCAGUGGGUACGGGCAGACUAGAGUGUGGUAGGGGAGACUGGAAUUCCUGGUGUAGCGGUGAAAUGCGCAGAUAUCAGGAGGAACACCGAUGGCGAAGGCAGGUCUCUGGGCCAUAACUGACGCUGAGAAGCGAAAGCAUGGGGAGCGAACAGG